CUACGGGUGGCUGCAGUGGGGAAUAUUGGACAAUGGGGGAAACCCUGAUCCAGCAAUGCCGCGUGUGUGAAGAAGGCCUGCGGGUUGUAAAGCACUUUCGGUUGGGAGGACUGCUUCUAGCACUAAUAUUGUUGGAAGUUGACGUUACCUUCAGAAGAAGCACCGGCUAACUCCGCGCCAGCAGCCGCGGUAAUACGGAGGGUGCAAGCGUUAAUCGGAAUUACUGGGCGUAAAGCGCGCGUAGGCGGCUAGAUCAGUCGGGUGUGAAAGCCCCGGGCUUAACCUGGGAACUGCAUCCGAUACUGUCUAGCUUGAGUACAGGAGAGGAGAGUGGAAUUCCACAUGUAGCGGUGAAAUGCGUAGAUAUGUGGAGGAACACCAAUGGCGAAGGCAGCUCUCUGGCCUGAUACUGACGCUGAGGUGUGAAAGCGUGGGGAGCAAACAGGAUUAGAUACCCGAGUAGUC
rnacentral:rRNA from 1 species